rnacentral:rRNA from 1 species
AUUGAACGCUGGCGGCAGGCCUAACACAUGCAAGUCGAGCGAGCGGCGGACGGGUGCGUACUGUCUGGGAAACUGCCUGAUGGCGGCGGAUAACUACUGGAAACGGUAUCUAAUACCGCAUACCCUCAGAUUUGCCCAGAUGGGAUUAGCUAGUAGGUGGGGUAACGGCUCACCUAGGCGACGAACCCUAGCUGGUCUGAGAGGAUGACCAGCAACACUGGAACUGAGACACGGUCCAGACUCCUACGGGAGGCAGCAGUGGGGAAUAUUGCACAAUGGGCGCAAGCCUGAUGCAGCCAUGCCGCGUGUGUGAAGAAGGCCUUCGGGUUGUAAAGCACUUUCAGCGGGGAGGCGUUACCCGCAGAAGAAGCACCGGCUAACUCCGUGCCAGCAGCCGCGGUAAUUC